CUAUAAAAAAAAAAAAAAAAGAAAAAAAAACAUUAAAAAGAGAAAAAAAAAAAAAAAAAAAAAAAAAAAAAAAAAAAAAAAAAAAAGGGGGGGGGGGGGGUAGGGGGGGAAGGGGGGGGGGGGGGGGGGCCACAAUUCCGGAGGAUGAUG